rnacentral:rRNA from 1 species
UACGGAGGGGGCGAGCGUUAUUCGGAAUUAUUGGGCGUGAAGGGCGCGUAGGCGGCCCGGUAAGUCAAAGGUGAAAUCCCUCGGCUCAACUGAGGAACUGCCUUUGAAACUGUCGGGCUUGAGGCCGGGAGGGGGUAGCGGAAUUCCCAGUGUAGCGGUGAAAUGCGUAGAUAUUGGGAGGAACACCGGUGGCGAAGGCGGUUCUCUGGGCCUUACCUGACGCUGAGGAGCGAAAGCGUGGGGAGCGAACAGG